rnacentral:rRNA from 1 species
CCUAGCGGUGGCAGCAGUAGGGAAUCUUCCACAAUGGACGAAAGUCUGAUGGAGCAACGCCGCGUGAGUGAAGAAGGGUUUCGGCUCGUACAGCUCUGUUGGUAGUGAAGAAAGAUAGAGGUAGUAACUGGCCUUUAUUUGACGGUAAUUACUUAGAAAGUCACGGCUAACUACGUGCCAGCAGCCGCGGUAAUACGUAGGUGGCAAGCGUUGUCCGGAUUUAUGGGGCGUAAAGCGAGUGCAGGCGGUUUCAUAAGUCUGAUGUGAAAGCCUUCGGCUCAACCGGGGAAUUGCAUCAGAAACCGUUGGACUUGAUUGCAGAAAGGGAGAGUGGAACUCCAUGUGUAGGCGUGGAAUGCGUAGAUAUAUGGAAGAACACCAGUGGCGAAGGCGGCUCUCUGGUCUGCAACUGACGCUGAGGCUCGAAAGCAUGGGUAGCGAACAGGAUUAGAUACCCGGGUAGUC